AUACGGAGGGUGCAAGCGUUAAUCGGAAUUACUGGGCGUAAAGAGUACGUAGGUGGUUUAUUAAGUCAGAUGUGAAAGCCCCGGGCUUAACCUGGGAACUGCAUUUGAUACUGGCAAACUAGAGUAUGAUAGAGGCGGGUAGAAUUCCUAGUGUAUCGGUGAAAUGCGUAGAUAUUAGGAGGAAUACCAGUGGCGAAGGCGGCCCGCUGGACCAAUACUGACACUGAGGUACGAAAGCGUGGGUAGCGAACAGGAUUAGAAACCCUAGUAGUCC
rnacentral:rRNA from 1 species